rnacentral:rRNA from 1 species
CCUACGGGCGGCAGCAGUAGGGAAUAUUGCUCAAUGGGGGAAACCCUGAAGCAGCAACGCCGCGUGGAGGAUGAAGGUUUUCGGAUUGUAAACUCCUUUUGUUAGAGAAGAUAAUGACGGUAUCUAACGAAUAAGCACCGGCUAACCCCGUGCCAGCAGCCGCGGUAAUACGGAGGGUGCAAGCGUUACUCGGAAUCACUGGGCGUAAAGAGCGCGUAGGCGGGAUAGCAAGUGAGAUGUGAAAUCCUAGGGCUUAACCAUAGAACUGCAUUUGAAACUGUUAUUCUAGAGUAUGGGAGAGGUAGGUGGAAUGCUUGGUGUAGGGGUAAAAUCCGUAGAGAUCAAGAGGAAUACUCAUUGCGAAGGCGACCUGCUAGAACAUAACUGACGCUGAUGCGCGAAAGCGUGGGGAGCAAACAGGAUUAGAUACCCUUGUAGUC